CCCUUAGAUGUUCUGGGCCGCACGCGCGCUACACUGACGAAUGCAACGAGCUUAUAACCUUGGACGAAAGGUCUGGGUAAUCUCCAAAUUUCGUCGUGAUGGGGAUAGAUUAUUGCAAUUAUUAAUCUUCAACGAGGAAUGCCUAGUAAGCGCAAGUCAUCAGCUUGCGUUGAUUACGUCCCUGCCCUUUGUACACACCGCCCGUCGCUCCUACCGAUUGAAUGGUCCGGUGAAGCGUUCGGACCGUGGCCUUUGGACGGUUCGCCGUCUGUUGGCUGCGGGAAGUUCGUUAAACCUUAUCAUUUAGAGGAAGGAGAAGUCGUAACA
rnacentral:rRNA from 1 species